ACCCCCUAUCCGGGAAGGAAGAAAGCCAGAACUCACCCCUGCUUCGUCUGGCGGCGCCGUUUCCCGCACGCGAUGCCGUCGACGGCGGAGGAUUUCCCGGCGAUAAGGAAGCUGGGGAAGCUCUUCCGGCUUACCGAAGUGUACCUCUGGGACGAUUCGUAUGGCGCUGGACCUCACGAUGGACAGAAGAACGGGCGCUCGGCGGAGGCUGCUCUCGUGGACUCUCAUACAGAUAAAACAUGCAAUGAAGCAUCCAAUAGCACUGACAAAGGCCAUUUCUUUGUUGAAGAUUUGGAAUUGGUCAAUCUCAUGGGUUCUUUGGGGCUUCCUGUUUCAUUCAGCACAAGUAAAGUGAACAAGAACACAUGCAACAAGGGAAAGAAAAAAGGAAGACAAGCACCGCUCAAAGCAGCAAACACUCAAAUCAAUGAUGCUGUGAGGAUAUGUAUCAAUACUGAAGAUAGAGAAAAUUCUGUUGAAUCAUUGGAUGCUAUGGAGCAAACGCACUCAUGCAAUUUAUUUGUGACACCACUGGGUCAAAAUGAACCCUCCCGUGAUGACACUGACAAGAGGCUUAGGGAAGACAGCUCUUGUGUUGAAGAACAAGAAGAGUCUGGCUGUAGCACCAUCUACUCUGCUGGCAAAGCCCCUGGCUGUGAUGCUAAAAAUCAUCUCACUGAACUUGGGGCUUUUGAGCUUUCUGAUAACUUGGCCAACUCAGCAAAAGAAGAAUACUCAAUUCAAGAAAAUCAAGCUUAUGAAAGUGUGUUGCUAGAUUCUGAAGAGAUGUCAAGGAAUGACUGUGUUGAUGAUGAAUCUACACAUUCCUGUGUUGGCAUUUAUCAGGAUGAAAGAGUGUCCACAAGGGGAGAUCAAACAUCUGAAGAAACUCUAUCAGUACCCCAUGAUUACAAUGAUGUUGGCAGAGAAGCUAGUCUAAGUUUGGCAGAGCCAUCAUCUAUUGAUGAGCAUGCACAAAGCUCUGCCAACAACUUUUACUAUGACUAUGGUGAAUGGAGGGUUAUCUGGGAUCCAUUCUAUAAUCGGUAUUAUUUUUACAACAUCCAGACACAAGAGUCCACAUGGUGUCCUCCUGAAGGACUGGAGGAUUUUGCAUCAUAUUGUAGCCCAGAUACCACUAAAGAGCUAGCUGAACUGGGAUCUCAGUGUUCAAGCAUGGCACCACAAGAGAACAAUCUGGCUACUCAUGUCAAUCAUUUAGAAGCACAGGAGCAAGAUCACUGCAUUCAUGAUUUAUCUGACAUUCCUGUUGAAAAGCCAAUAUAUCAAAGUAUGAUAACUACCUCUGACAAAGCACAGCACACUGAAAAUAAGUACAGCGAUUCAACAACUACUGUGUUAGAGAUGAACCAGGAAGUUGCUAGCACCAAAACGAAAAAGAGAAUCAUUCAUGCCAAGACAUGGCAGGGAACGUCUCUAAUGACAUCAUCAAGUACUGGGCUCAGCGGUAUUCACUUUUCUCACUUUUUGAUAGUGGUAUAAAGAUGGAUGAAGUAGGGUGGUUUUCAGUUACGCCAGAGCCAAUUGCAAAGCAUCAUGCAUCUCGUGUGGGUGCGGGAGUAAUGAUUGAUUGUUUCACAGGAGUUGGUGGAAAUGCCAUCCAAUUUGCCAAAAAGUGCAAGCAUGUAAUUGCAGUUGAUAUUGAUCCACAAAAGAUUGAUUGCGCGCAUCAUAAUGCAUCCAUUUAUGGAGUAAAUGAUCACAUAGAUUUCAUUGUAGGUGAUUUUAUACAUAUAGCUCCUCAUCUGAAGGGAGAAACUGCUUUCAUGUCGCCUCCUUGGGGUGGCCCUGACUAUGCCAAAGUUGAUGUUUAUGAUAUGAAAAGCAUGCUUAUUCCUUGUGAUGGGUACUCUCUUUUUAAACUCGGAACCAUGAUAGCUUCAAGAGUAGUGAUGUUUCUUCCUCGCAACAUUGACCUAAACCAAUUGGCGGACAUGUCCUUGUCUGUGGAUCCCCCGUGGGCAGUUGAGGUCGAGAAGAACUUCCUCAACGGAAAGCUGAAAGCCAUAACAGCUUACUUUGAAGAACAGGAUCGUUGAACCAAGCAUCGGCGCUGGUGAUACAAAUCAUCUUGUUAGCUAUGACUCACGACAAAUUUUUGUGGUGACCCUAAACAGAACCUUUGUGUUCGGAGACAGAAAGAAGCGGUUUAUCAUCUUCACCGAGCAUAGAUAAUUUAUUUGCAGAGAUGAGUCAUUGGUAUCAUACAAAAGCAGCUCAGCUUAUCUCAAUUCACAGCAAGUGAAACUGUCGAAGGAAAACUACAAGGCUGACAGUCGAACGCGUGGGAGUUAGCUUAAUUUUGCCUUAUGAUAAGCAAGCAUGCUUCCUGGUUUAUUUCAUACAGCUACUAGUAGUUUCAGCUGCAACAGUUGUGCGUUGGUGUGCGUGUGAUUCUCACAUAUCUGGUCCUGCGGAUGUGAGUGAUGCAAAUGUAUGUGUCAUCAUCCCAUGUAAGGGUUUGUUUGUUUGCUCUCAAUCUAUGUAGAUUGAGUGGGAUUAAGUGAGUUUAAAUCUCAGACAAGUC